UUUCUGGGACAUGUUUCAUGGUAUUGGGAGUAAGGCUUGGUGGCUUACUACAGCUAAGAUAUAAGCUGAUGUAAUGACAAUGAUUUCAUGGUGUUGGGAGUAAGAAUUGGACAUCUGAUACUUCUACAUAUAAUAUGUUGGUUAGCAUCACAGCUUGUCCUUAGGGGUACUGGCUGGGGUAGCAAUUGGAUAUGCUUCGAGGUGUAUUCCUGCUGCUGCCUUGUGUGGUCAAUCCUGUGGACAAU